rnacentral:lncRNA from 1 species
GAAAGAAAAUCCAACCAGACAACUCUGAUCGUCUUCUUCAGCUUACAAGAUCAUCCCAGUACUCACUGCCCAUCUUUUCUUCUGUUAUUUCCAAUCAAAACCCGUUUCAAAAGAGAGUCGAGCAGACAAGGUUGCUGGGGUACGAAAGAGAAGAGGAGAGAUCCAGGAUUGUGGUCGACCUGUGGAGGAAGGUUUGGGUUUGGUUUUUAUCACAAUGAUUGACAAGGGUGAAAAUUUGGGUUGUGCUUUUGGUUUUUAAACUUGAAAUGUUUUUUAUUGAAUUGUUCAUAUGUUCAGUUUGGUUUCUUUAUUUUGUAGUGUUCAGUGAGUCUAGAGGUUGUACGUAUUGAAGGGGUGGGGAUUUGGAGUGCAGACAAAGAGAAGAGGUUUCGUUGUUAAGAAUCAUAAGCAAUUGUUUCUUUGCUGGUUUGUAAGUUCAGAAGUUUGGAGCUGGGUUUGAGCCAAUUUGUUUUUUAUACCAAUAUGUUUGUAGUUAUUUUUUUUAUACCAAUUUGUGGUUAAUUAUUAUAACGUUUGAAGGUGUUUUGCUGUUUAGAAGGUCAACUCAGAUAUUGCUCUGCAUAUAGCUUCAAAUUAGUUAUCCAGCUUUGUUAACCAAAAUUGAUAAUUUAUUGUUUGUUGCUGUAAUGCUUAAUUUGUGUUUUGGUUCCACAAUCAACUUUCUCAUUCAUAUAGCUCACUUUAAGAGUUGUCAUGGAUCCUUAAUAGCAUGUACCAUCAGAAUAUAAGUGCUCUGAGACGCUGGAGAAUAAAAUAGUCAAAGCAAUGUCUAUCGCUGAGAAUGAUCUUUUUUAACUUUGAUCUUUUGGUUUGUUCUUUGAGUUUGAUCUUUUUCUUCAUUUUUUAAUUGCUGCAUUUAUCUGCUUUGUUUUCUUUUUCUAUCUUUAUUUUCAAAUUAUCUUCAGAAUGAAUGAAUGCAUCCAUUUUUUUUCCAAGUUCAUAAGUACAUAUAUUUCUUUAUAAUGUUUGCAAUACAUAUAUGUAGGGGGCAAUAUAUUGGUCUCGAAUAGUUCAUUGAUUUCAAGAAGAACAUAUCAAAAAUGAAAUUGCAUAGACAUAGGUUCAAAGGUGACUGAUUUGUUGAUACUUUUUAAUGUAAGUACACGGUGUUUGAUACGCAGAAUAAUUGAUAGUUCAGUUGUUAAUUUUUUACUUUUUUUGUUUUUUUCUUUUCCCUCCCCUGUAAAGGAGGCUGAUAGUUAUUAUUGAAAAGGUCAAGAUCAGUAGAUAAACAAUGAAACAGAAACAUUAGAUACUUUGUAUACUUUGUAUCUUUUGUGAAUGCGGUACCUUGGCCUUUUACGUUCGAUGGCUAGAGGGUGCUAUUUUCUUGCAAUCGAAGAAGACAAUGCUCUAGCUCUUGCUAUAAUUCCCUAUUAGAUUGAGAAAAAUUUGUCAAACAUGCCAUUGUGGAAUUUAAUGAUAAACCAUUUUACCUUGCAGGGACUGAGAUUGGUAGAACUUCAAAAUGGCGAUAAUACACUGAACCUCAGGAGAGAUCCAAGAUUUUGGUCAAUUUUUUAAGGAAGCUUUAGCUUUGUUUCAGAAGAAGUGGCUGCUAAAUUUCAGUUAUCUAAAAUUCUGCUCUUGACUGAGUUUUUUCUUUCUAAAUUUUGUGUAUUAGUAUAUUAACAUGUGAAUGAAAAUAAUUUGGCUUUAAGUUU